CCUACGGGUGGCAGCAGUGGGGAAUAUUGCACAAUGGGGGAAACCCUGAUGCAGCGACGCCGCGUGAGGGAAGAAGUAUUUAGGUAUGUAAAGCUCUAUCAGCAGGGAAGAAAAUGACGGUACCUGUUGAAGAAGCCCCGGCUAACUACGUGCCAGCAGCCGCGGUAAUACGUAGGGGGCAAGCGUUAUCCGGAUUUACUGGGUGUAAAGGGAGCGUAGACGGCAGCACAAGUCUGGAGUGAAAUGCCGGGGCUUAACCCCGGAACUGCUUUGGAAACUGUGCAGCUAGAGUGCAGGAGAGGUAGGGGGAAUUCCUGGUGUAGCGGUGAAAUGCGUAGAUAUUAGGAGGAACACCAGUGGCGAAGGCAGCUUACUGGACUGUAACUGACGUUGAGGCUCGAAAGCGUGGGGAGCAAACAGGAUUAGAUACCCCUGUAGUC
rnacentral:rRNA from 1 species